AUGAUGCAUUUUACAAGGAAUUCAGCCGAAGAGGAGGCUUUUUCUGUCAUUCAUUCUGUGAAGCUGUUUACAAAGAUAAAUUCAUCAUUGGUGGAGACCCGCAUGUGCUCCGAAGAGGAAGCAAAAAGAGCUCAGAGCCUGUUCACAACCAGGUUAAAUACCCCGUCUCGCUCUCGGCCCAGGCAAGUUAGAGGAACUCUAUGGACAGCAGAAUGUCAAGAGGCCUUUAACCACCUAAAAUCAUAUUUGGGAAGUUGUACAUAAUGCAGUAUUUGGAUGGCAUAUAUAGGCACUGGUUUCACUUCCCAGUUCUGCUAACUGUUCCAGUGAAGAAACACAGGGAUAAUGGUCUUUUAACAUAUCUGGUAAUUUACAAAACUUCUCCUGAAGACGUCGAGAACGCCUCACUGGUGUCAGAAACUUCAAGUCUUUAAACGAAGCACUAUUUUCAUCAAAAUUCAUCUUCUUUUUUACACUUUGCAAGUAUGGAGUAGUUGACACAUUAUAUUUAAUAACAUAAGACCCGCUGGUUUCCUUAUCAGGAGUCUCUAAAACACUUGUUGAAUCUUCCGCUUCAUCCUCUUGCUCUCUUUCAACCAUCUGUAGUUUUACAUUCUUUGUAUUAUGAUCUUUAUCUUUUGAUUCUGAAUUUUCUUCUGCUGAUGUCUCAUCUACAUCAACUUUAUCCUGAUUUAUAACUUCAUCACAUAAUUUUUUGAUCUCUUCGUUAGCUGAACAAACCUCAUCAACAUUCUCCCCAUCAUUACCCUUCACUUGACUCUUCAUCGUUAGGAUAUCUGCAAGUGCAUGUCGCAUUUCUUCCA
rnacentral:lncRNA from 1 species